rnacentral:rRNA from 1 species
GACGGAGGAUGCAAGCGUUAUCCGGAAUGAUUGGGCGUAAAGCGUCCGUAGGCGGCUCGAUAAGUCCGGUGUGAAAUCUUGGGGCUCAACCCCAAGCCUGCACUGGAUACUGUCGAGCUUGAGUCCGGGAGGGGAGAGCGGAAUUCCUAGUGUAGCGGUGAAAUGCGCAGAUAUUAGGAAGAACACCGGUGGCGAAGGCGGCUCUCUGGAACGGUACUGACGCUGAGACGCGAAAGCGUGGGGAGCGAACAGG